rnacentral:rRNA from 1 species
UACGUAGGGUGCAAGCGUUGUCCGGAAUUAUUGGGCGUAAAGAGCUCGUAGGCGGUUUGUCGCGUCGGCUGUGAAAUCCCGUGGCUCAACUGCGGGUCUGCAGCCGAUACGGGCAGGCUAGAGUUCGGUAGGGGAGACUGGAAUUCCUGGUGUAGCGGUGAAAUGCGCGGAUAUCAGGAGGAACACCGGUGGCGAAGGCGGGUCUCUGGGCCGAUACUGACGCUGAGGAGCGAAAGCGUGGGGAGCGAACAGG